AAACAUUAGCAAAUUUAUGCAUUUCGAUUUCGGCUCGAAAAGAGGGAAAAAUAAGUCCCAAUGUUUA
rnacentral:tRNA from 1 species